GUGCUGCAUGGCUGUCGUCAGCUCGUGUUGUGAAAUGUUGGGUUAAGUCCCGCAACGAGCGCAACCCUUAUCCUUGUUUGCCAGCACAUAAUGGUGGGAACUCCAGGGAGACUGCCGGUGAUAAACCGGAGGAAGGUGGGGACGACGUCAAGUCAUCAUGGCCCUUACGAGUAGGGCUACACACGUGCUACAAUGGCGUAUACAGAGGGCUGCCAACCAGCGAUGGUGAGCGAAUCCCAGAAAGUACGUCGUAGUCCGGAUUGGAGUCUGCAACUCGACUCCAUGAAGUCGGAAUCGCUAGUAAUCGUGAAUCAGAAUGUCACGGUGAAUACGUUCCCGGGCCUUGUACACACCGCCCGUCACACCAUGGGAGUGGGCUGCACCAGAAGUAGAUAGCUUAACCUUCGGGAGGGCGUUUACCACGGUGUGGUUCAUGACUGGGGUGAAGUCGUAACAAGGUAGCCCUAGGGGAACCUGGGGCUGGAUCACCUCCUUACCUAA
rnacentral:rRNA from 1 species